AUUGAACGCUGGCGGCAGGCCUAACACAUGCAAGUCGCACGAGUGGCGGACGGGUGAGUACUGUCUGGGAAACUGCCUGAUGGAGGUGGGUAACUACUGGAAACGGUAGAUAAUACAGCAUACCAUCAGAUGUGCCCAGAUGGGAUUAGCUAGUUGGUGGGGUAACGGCUCACCAGGGCGACUAUCCCUAGCUGGUCUGAGAGGAUGACAAGCAACACUGGAACUGAGACACGGUCCAGACUCCUACGGUAGGCAGCAGUGGGGAAUAUUGCACAAUGGGCGCAAGCCUGAGGCAGCCAUGCCGCGUGUAUGAAGAAGGCCUUCGGGUUGUAAAGUACUUUCAGCGGGGAGGCGUUACCCGCAGAAGAAGCACCGGCUAACUCCGUGCCAGCAGCCGCGGUAAUAC
rnacentral:rRNA from 1 species